CUACGGAGGGUCCAAGCGUUAUCCGGAUUCAUUGGGUUUAAAGGGUCCGCAGGCGGGAAAAUAAGUCAGUGGUGAAAGCCUACAGCUCAACUGUAGAACUGCCAUUGAAACUGUUUUUCUUGAGUAUAGAUGAAGUGGGCGGAAUAUAUCAUGUAGCGGUGAAAUGCAUAGAUAUGAUAUAGAACACCGAUUGCGAAGGCAGCUCACUAAACUAUUACUGACGCUCAGGGACGAAAGCGUGGGGAGCGAACAGGAUUAGAUACCCUAGUAGUCC
rnacentral:rRNA from 1 species